rnacentral:rRNA from 1 species
CGGCGUGCCUAAUACAUGCAAGUCGAGCGCAGGAAGCAGAUUGAUCCCUUCGGGGUGACGUCUGUGGAAUGAGCGGCGGACGGGUGAGUAACACGUGGGCAACCUGCCUGUAAGAUCGGGAUAACUUGCGGAAACGUGAGCUAGUACCGGAUAAUGCUCCACGCCUCCUGGUGUGGAGAUGAAAGACGGUUUUGCUGUCACUUACAGAUGGGCCCGCGGCGCAUUAGCUAGUUGGUGGGGUAAUGGCCUACCAAGGCGACGAUGCGUAGCCGACCUGAGAGGGUGAUCGGCCACACUGGGACUGAGACACGGCCCAGACUCCUACGGGAGGCAGCAGUAGGGAAUCUUCCGCAAUGGACGAAAGUCUGACGGAGCAACGCCGCGUGAGCGAUGAAGGUCUUCGGAUCGUAAAGCUCUGUUGUUAGGGAAGAACAAGUGCGAGAGUAACUGCUCGCACCUUGACGGUACCUAACCAGAAAGCCACGGCUAACUACGUG